ensembl:snoRNA
UGGACCAGUAAUGACCACUGGUGGCCAUCAUGGCUGAUGGUUAUACCUCUGGAAGUCUGAGGUCCAA